rnacentral:rRNA from 1 species
CAGCCGCCACGGUAAUACGGAGGGUGCAAGCGUUAAUCGGAAUUACUGGGCGUAAAGCGCACGCAGGCGGUCUGUCAAGUCAGAUGUGAAAUCCCCGGGCUUAACCUGGGAACUGCAUUUGAAACUGGCAGGCUAGAGUCUUGUAGAGGGGGGUAGAAUUCCAGGUGUAGCGGUGAAAUGCGUAGAGAUCUGGAGGAAUACCGGUGGCGAAGGCGGCCCCCUGGACAAAGACUGACGCUCAGGUGCGAAAGCGUGGGGAGCAAACAGGAUUAGAGACCCCAGUAGUCCCUGUCUCUUAUAA